GACGAACGCUGGCGGCGUGCCUAAUACAUGCAAGUCGAGCGCAGGAAACUGACGGAACUCUUCGGAGGGAAGGCAGUGGAAUGAGCGGCGGACGGGUGAGUAACACGUAAGGAACCUGCCUCAAGGAUUGGGAUAACUCCGAGAAAUCGGAGCUAAUACCGGAUAGUUCAACGGACCGCAUGGUCCGCUGAUGAAAGGCGCUCCGGCGUCACCUUGAGAUGGGCUUGCGGUGCAUUAGCUAGUUGGUGGGGUAACGGCCCACCCAGGCGACGAUGCAUAGCCGACCUGAGAGGGUGAUCGGCCACACUGGGACUGAGACACGGCCCAGACUCCUACGGGAGGCAGCAGUAGGGAAUCUUCCACAAUGGACGAAAGUCUGAUGGAGCAACGCCGCGUGAGUGAUGAAGGUUUUCGGAUCGUAAAACUCUGUUGUAAGGGAAGAACACGUACGAGAGGGAAUGCUCGUACCUUGACGGUACCUUACGAGAAAGCCACGGCUAACUACGUGCCAGCCGCCGCGGUAAGAC
rnacentral:rRNA from 1 species